UCGAUUCCCUUAGUAGCGGCGAGCGAAACGGGAAGAGCCCAAACCAACAAGCUUGCUUGUUGGGGUUGUAGGACACUCUAUACGGAGUUACAAAGGACGACAUUAGACGAAUCAUCUGGAAAGAUGAAUCAAAGAAGGUAAUAAUCCUGUAGUCGAAAAUGUUGUCUCUCUUGAGUGGAUCCUGAGUACGACGGAGCACGUGAAAUUCCGUCGGAAUCUGGGAGGACCAUCUCCUAAGGCUAAAUACUCUCUAGUGACCGAUAGUGAACCAGUACCGUGAGGGAAAGGUGAAAAGCACCCCGGAAGGGGAGUGAAAUAGAACCUGAAACCGUGUGCUUACAAGUAGUCAGAGCCCGUUAAUGGGUGAUGGCGUGCCUUUUGUAGAAUGAACCGGCGAGUUACGAUUUGAUGCAAGGUUAAGCAGUAAAUGUGGAGCCGUAGCGAAAGCGAGUCUGAAUAGGGCGUUUAGUAUUUGGUCGUAGACCCGAAACCAGGUGAUCUACCCUUGGUCAGGUUGAAGUUCAGGUAACAC
rnacentral:rRNA from 1 species